rnacentral:pre_miRNA from 1 species
GGGGUUAAACUGUACGUUAUAUGUGCCCUUUUGUAAAUUCAUAAGCGUAUAGCUUUUCCCCUU